rnacentral:rRNA from 1 species
CCCCUAGACGUUCUGGGCUGCACGCGCGCUACAAUAAUACGCACAGCGAGUAUCACCGAGCUCGAAAGGGCAAGGUAAACAAUAGAAAAGGUACUGUAAUGGUUAUAGAUCCUUGUAAUUAUUGAUCUUCAACGAGGAAUUCCUAGUAAGUAUGUGUCAUCAUCACGCACUGAUUACGUCCCUGCCCUUUGUACACACCGCCCGUCGCUCCUACCGAUUGGGUGAUCCGGUGAAUAAUUUGGAAUGCUGCUUGCCUGCAGCUUGUGGGCACUUCGGCUGUAAGUCUGGUGAACCUUAUCACUUAGAGGAAGGAGAAGUCGUAACA